rnacentral:rRNA from 1 species
CGAAGGCCAUCCACAUGUCGUUGUUGUUAACUAAUUUUUUCGUUAUCGUUCGUUGUUUAGGGGUGACUCGCGGCUCACUGACGGGGAAGAUGUGAAGCGGUAAGUAAAGCAGGAGUGGUAGGUCGCGGCGAGGCGGAGCUAGAAGGAGGAGGAGAUGGAGUGGUAGUUCGCGAGGAGGAGGAGGAGAAGAGGUAGGUGGAGUGGUGGGUCGGUGAAGGGCCGACGGUUUCCACCGCGCCCUUUAAGACCGUCGCAGCCACACACACAAACGACGACGCCGACCCCGCCGUCGCCGGACGAGCAGCCGAGUGCCCCCGGCCUCGCCUCAUGGCCACGGCACCACCACCUCGGGGAGGGCCACCCACCGACCCUCACUGCCGCCCGACGUCCCGACCGCACGUCACCGCCGAGGCAACGAGCGGUCUAGACCGCCGGCGGGUCGUGCGAGUCCCCGACCAACGUGGAUACCGCCUCCGCUCCCUCCUCCAGACCACCACGACGAGCAGACGGCCACCGCCUUCCUAAGACCCCGCCGAACCCACUUUAGUGGUUCAAAAGAGAAGGCACUCGAGAAGAGACAUGGUAGCAACCGGUAGAGACAUACUUAGUUAUACCGUUUUAAUUGAGCUGGAUAGAUAAUCCGACCCGUGUGGUACCAACGUGGUUAAAAAAAGACAUAGAGGUCUAGCCGAGAAGAGGAAGAAAUCCUAAUAAUAUCGAGUUUACCGUAGAGGUUAAAAAAGGCACAUAGAAACCUAACCGAUCAAAAAAGACACAUAGAAGUCUAGUCGGGACAGAGGAAGAAAUCCUAAUAAUCCUGAACCCCAUCCGCAUCCGUGACCUGGCCGCCGCUCGCCGCCGUACCAUUUCCACGUCGCGCGAUCUCCACCUUCUACCCUAACCUAGCACCCAGCACGCCGAUCCCUCGACGGUAGGAGGGUCGUUCCGAUCCUGGCCGCCUCCGGCUCGCCGCCUAACCAAACCAAACACCACCAGCAUCUGAACGGUCUCUCCCCGCUCCACCACCGGCAGCUGAGCGGCCUCUCCCUCCCCCCUCCUCCUCCUCGACGUCGUGCCAGACAGCCCACUACCCCACGCUACCACCGCCAACUCUCCUGUCCUAUUCCUUCCCUGUACGCCGACCACAAAAGCGAUCGCUUAGCAAUAAAACUUUUUGACAGUACUACUGCCUGCUGACUUUGGGAUAAGAGCGAAUUGUGCUAGAUAACGAUUCCGAAAGGCCAUCUACUCGACGGUAAAGUCAAAUUGCACUUCGUGUUCACUAAAAAGUGGGAAGACCAAGCUCAUAGAAAGACAGCGGAAGUGGCCGAAACUUCGCACCAAAAGGUCGACGUCAAAGAUUAUAUAUCUUCAACUCAACGGACAAGUCACAACUCAGUUUGAACCAGAAGGCCAAGUGUGUUGCCGUCGUCGUCGUAAAUGUAGAGUCUAUGUACGUACCGACGUACAGCCGUUGUCGUCCUCGUCGUUUAAUGAAUGGAUGUUUCAUUUUGCCG